CGCCGCCGCGCCGCUCCUCUGUCCGAGUCGCACGGGCCAGGGCCUCUCGCUCCCUCCUAAGAGGGGCAGCCGGCGCAGCACUGUACGGCCACUGUUCCCCAAGACACAAAGAGGGCCUUGUGUUGGGUGUGGUCUCUUGGAAGAGAGAUGGGGAAGUACACGCUGCUCCACACCGCCCCUGGGUUUCCUUCCAGGGCGUCCCAAGAAGGUGGGAUUUCAGGGUGGGGCGGAAAAGAAGGCUGCCACAGACACUCUAGAACCAGGACGGUCUCGUGGGCUCGAGGGUUCUGUUCUUCUACUGGUGAGUUGAUUAAAAGUCUACUUGAUUUGACUUGCUGAGACUUUAUACCAGAGACUGAAAGAAGAAAAGCAAAACCUAAGCCCAUCCAUUACGCUGGCAAAACUUUUAAUCAAAACACUCCCAACAGUUUCCUAGGUUUCUCCCUCAACCAGCAAAGAGAGGACAGAACACGAAACGGGGACACCCCAGGAGAAGGAGCCAUGUUCUGUGGAGUCCCCCUGGCUUCCCAGCCUCCAGCCUCUCCCCUCCCUCAACCCAACCUAUCACAGUGUGCACAACAAUGAAAUAUUUUCCAUAUU